UUGACAUGGUUUCUUAACUGGAACUGGAGUAAUGGAAAUGAUCAAUAAUUGCCACAGUAUCUCCCAUGUAUGAAGCCUUCAUUGGAUCUCCCAGAUGGAACAAGCUGUUCUCUCCUCAUUCCUUGAUUGUAAAACAUGACAAAUUUUAUUAAAAAUACUUUUUUUUAAAACCUUGGUGUCUACUCCACUAGA